rnacentral:rRNA from 1 species
UACGUAGGGUGCGAGCGUUGUCCGGAAUUAUUGGGCGUAAAGGGCUCGUAGGCGGUCUGUCACGUCGGGAGUGAAAACACGGGGCUUAACCCCGUGCCUGCUUCCGAUACGGGCAGACUAGAGGUAUGCAGGGGAGAACGGAAUUCCUGGUGUAGCGGUGGAAUGCGCAGAUAUCAGGAAGAACACCCGUGGCGAAGGCGGCUCUCUGGAACGCAACUGACGCUGAGACGCGAAAGCGUGGGGAGCAAACAGG